rnacentral:rRNA from 1 species
UACGUAGGUGGCAAGCGUUGUCCGGAGUUAUUGGGCGUAAAGCGCGCGCAGGCGGUCUUUUAAGUCUGAUGUGAAAGCCCCCGGCUCAACCGGGGAGGGUCAUUGGAAACUGGGAGACUUGAGUGCAGAAGAGAAGAGUGGAAUUCCACGUGUAGCGGUGAAAUGCGUAGAGAUGUGGAGGAACACCAGUGGCGAAGGCGACUCUUUGGUCUGUAACUGACGCUGAGGCGCGAAAGCGUGGGGAGCAAACAGG